rnacentral:rRNA from 1 species
UACGUAGGGUGCAAGCGUUUAAUCGGAAUUACUGGGCGUAAAGCGUGCGCAGGCGGUUCUAUAAGACAGAUGUGAAAUCCCCCGGGCUCAACCUGGGAACUGCAUUUGUGACUGUAGAGCUGGAGUACGGCGAGAGGGGGGAUGGAAUUCCGCGUGGUAGCAGUGAAAUGCGUAGAUAUGCGGAGGAACACCGGUGGCGAAGGCGGCUCUCGUGGACCGAACCUGACGCUGAGGCGCGAAAAGCGUGGGGAGGCAAACAGGG